UUAGGAACAAGUGUCUGGAGACACCAUGAUCAGGCAGGUGGUUUUCCCAGGGUGAGGCUCAUCCUUUGCACUCUGGCUGUGCUGACCCCUGCAGUUUCCCCAAAUGUGGGAAACUCAACUGCGUUUUUUUGUUUGUGGGUUUUGGUUUUUUUUCCUGCCCGGG